ensembl:misc_RNA Metazoa_SRP Metazoan signal recognition particle RNA
GCCAGGUGUAGUGGUGUGUGCCUGUAGUCCCAGCUACUUGGGAGGCUGAGGUGGGAGGAUUGCUUGAGCCCAGGAGGUUGAGGCUGCAGUGAGCCGAGAUAGCACCACUGCACCCCAGCCUGGGUGACAAAGCAAGACCCUGUCUCAA